GAUGAACGCUGGCGGCGUGCCUAAUACAUGCAAGUCGAGCGAACAGACGAGGAGCUUGCUCCUCUGACGUUAGCGGCGGACGGGUGAGUAACACGUGGAUAACCUACCUAUAAGACUGGGAUAACUUCGGGAAACCGGAGCUAAUACCGGAUAACAUGUUGAACCGCAUGGUUCAACAGUGAAAGACGGUCUUGCUGUCACUUAUAGAUGGAUCCGCGCCGCAUUAGCUAGUUGGUAAGGUAACGGCUUACCAAGGCAACGAUGCGUAGCCGACCUGAGAGGGUGAUCGGCCACACUGGAACUGAGACAGGUUCCAGACGCCUACGGGAGGAAGCAGUAGGGAAUCUUCCGCAAUGGGGGAAAGCCUGACGGAGCAACGCCGCGUGAGGGAAGAAGGUCUUCGGAUCGUAAAACUCUGUUAUUAGGGAAGAACAAAUGUGUAAGUAACUAUGCACGUCUUGACGGUACCUAAUCAGAAAGCCACGGCUAACUACGUG
rnacentral:rRNA from 1 species